rnacentral:lncRNA from 1 species
UUUUACAGCGGAGCAAACUGAGACAUAAAGUUAUCCACAGGCGUUCAGAAAGCAGCUGGCAGAAUUCACCUGGAGCCUGGGAAUCCUGAUGUCCAUUCCUCCAGUUAACCCACAGCACCUCUGGUCACAGUUAUCCUUUUCCUGACUAUAGGAUUAUCCCAGGAGUAUUGAAGCUCUUCUGUGACAAGGUUGCUUUGUGUGCAGGUUCACAGUGGUGAAAUAGCUGUACCAGCAGGAGUGUGUAACAGUGCUCUGUGGGCAUGUGGAAGACUGGAGAUUCAGCUACCUGUAGAAGUACAUGAUAUUGCCAUAAUUUGAUAAGUUUCCUG